CGCGGGAGUCGCUGCUGAGGCGACCGCGGGCGCGUGUCGCGUCGGCGCUGUCCGCGGGGCCGGGCCGGGCUGGCAGCAGCUGGCUCCUGGCGCUGAGGGCAGGCUCCCGGGGCGGGCGGAAUGGCCCCCACCUAGGGCAGUGGGAGAAGCGGCUGAGCCCAGGAUGCCGGGAAGGCGGCGCGGCGGUUCCUCACUCAUCCCAGAUGUUGAUCAUCUUUCUGAAGUAGAAUCUCCAUGGCCUGAACAAUUUCUGAAAAUCAUUUGGAGCAAAAUAGCUGUUUAAUAACAAGAUAACUACAUCAAGAUGGUUGGAAAACUGAAGCAGAACUUACUAUUGGCAUGUCUGGUGAUUAGUUCUGUGACUGUAUUUUACUUGGGCCAACACGCCAUGGAAUGCCAUCACCGAAUAGAAGAACGUAGCCAGCCCCUCAAGUUGGAGAGCACGAGGACCACGGUGCGAACUGGCCUGGACAUCAAAGCCAAUAAAACCUUUGCCUAUCACAAAGAUAUGCCUUUAAUAUUUAUUGGAGGUGUGCCUCGGAGUGGAACCACACUCAUGAGGGCCAUGCUAGACGCGCACCCUGAUAUUCGCUGUGGAGAGGAAACCAGGGUCAUUCCUCGAAUCCUGGCUCUGAAGCAGAUGUGGUCACGGUCGAGUAAAGAGAAAAUACGCUUGGAUGAGGCUGGUGUCACCGAUGAAGUGCUGGAUUCUGCCAUGCAGGCCUUCUUACUAGAAAUUAUUGUUAAGCAUGGGGAGCCAGCCCCUUAUUUAUGUAAUAAAGAUCCUUUUGCCCUGAAAUCCUUAACUUACCUUGCUAGGUUAUUCCCCAAUGCCAAAUUUCUCCUGAUGGUCCGAGAUGGCAGGGCAUCAGUACAUUCAAUGAUUUCUCGGAAAGUUACUAUAGCUGGGUUUGACCUGAACAGCUACAGGGACUGUUUGACCAAGUGGAAUCGUGCCAUAGAGACCAUGUACAACCAGUGUAUGGAGGUUGGCUAUAAAAAAUGCAUGUUAGUUCACUAUGAACAACUUGUCUUGCAUCCUGAACGGUGGAUGAGAACUCUCUUAAAGUUCCUCCAGAUUCCUUGGAACCACUCAGUAUUACACCAUGAAGAGAUGAUUGGGAAAGCCGGGGGAGUAUCUCUGUCAAAAGUGGAGAGAUCUACAGACCAAGUCAUCAAGCCAGUCAAUGUGGGCGCUCUAUCAAAAUGGGUUGGGAAGAUCCCUCCAGAUGUUUUACAAGACAUGGCAGUGAUUGCACCCAUGCUUGCCAAACUUGGAUAUGACCCAUACGCCAACCCACCUAACUAUGGAAAACCUGAUCCCAAAAUCCUUGAAAACACGAGAAGGGUCUACAAAGGAGAAUUCCAGCUACCUGAAUUUCUUAAAGAAAAACCUCAGACUGAGAAAGGGGAGUAGCAGAGCCAGGAACCUCUAACGUACCUGAGAUUCCACAUAUGAGUGAUCUCGUAUGGGAUUCAUCAUGGACCAGCUGUUUACAGAAUGCAGUGCCAGUUGACUCCAGCCUUGCGUUGCGUCCGCAGCAGUGUUUCUUCUUUGCUUGUGAGGCCUGCAGGUGCCCACGUUCAAGGAGAGAAAGACUCAGGAGCAGCUGGGAAGACAUCAGAGCAUCUCAAGCUAAAUAGUAGUCUUUUGGAUCCCUUUGGUCUAUGAACAACAGUCACUGUGUUUUCUAAAGCUUCCUGUAUGGAACCUCAAUAUCCACUUUUUCAUAUAAAGAGUCCGCACGUUUGACCCCCGGACCUUUGACGUCUCUAUCAGUGCCCCUGCAGUAGCUUCAGCUGCAAAUGACAGUUGCAGUCAUCUCAAAACGGGCAGGAGCAGCACUUGCUUUGGCUGUCAUCUGCUUGUUCUGCACGUUGAAGCUACCGGCAGGCUCUAAAACCACCGCAGACUGAGGGAGACUGUGCCUCUCCCAUAGCCCUUCUGAGGCAGCUGUUCUCAUAAUUGUCCAGCCCCCUGCCCAUCUGCAUGGCUCCUGCCAGGCCCACCACUGGAAAGGAGGCGUGUCGUGCCGGGGAGAACAAACUGCGACUCCACACCUGUAACGACAUUCUGUUUGUUUGCUCUAGGGAAGACUGCUGCUGCCUUUUCAACGGCAGAGAAAUUUCUAGGUCUGGCUGUCCCCUGCUGAGAUGAAUGGAUGUGUGUACCAUGGCCCGCGUCUCCUGUCAUUUGCCAGUCUCCCCCCACUGAGAGGGUGGGAUGUCAGCACACAUUCCGACCUUCCUGAGUGGCGUGCUUCCCGAGUCCAGCGCUCUUGAACCUAAUUACAUGCACAGCCCCGUGGAUAAGGAGCCCAGAGGGGAUGUGUGCUUUCUGUUAAAACUGCUCUGGUCCUCAUCUUUUCUUACCAGAUUCCAAACUUUGUUUUCAAGGGGAGGGUUUUAAAAUGGCAUCGUGUAAGCGAAAGUGGGCAGUUUCACCUUGGAAUAGGUUGUCCGUACAUGUUCUAAUGUUUUGUAGAACACUUGUACCUGUUUAAAUGUAUUGAUGUGGAUACUAUUAAAUACCUUAAUUAUUUAAAUAGUUCAUUGUAUUGUUUCUGAGAAGUUGAGGAAUUACCACAUACAUUUACAACUUGAUGACUUUUGUAUUUUAUUUUUCAAAAUAAAAGCCUUAAAUGUGAA